rnacentral:lncRNA from 1 species
UUCCCUCUUUUCUAUUCUUUUCCAAACCCUAACAUAAACCAAUUCUGUUCUAUCGGCACCCUCAAAACCCUAACAACACACAAGCAUCUUCAUCAACAAAUCAACAAUGGUGAUGGUCAGUUCAUGAGACCAUCCGCUUUUUGUUUUCCUGCUCAAUCCCUGUUGAUCAGAGGGUUUGACGGGACACGUGGACCCCAACUCUAGAUGGAUAUUUGAACUGCAAUGAUCUCUAUAUACAACUGAAUACGUAGCUUUUAACAGAGGUUUUUGCUUAUCUACAAAAUUUGACCCAUGUAACCCAAGAGGUUGAAGCUGAAGAACAACCAAAUUUUUUGCGGAAUAUUUAGUUUACCAUUGUGCCUUAUUUCGCUUUUCUUAAGAGAGAGGGCAGUGAUUGGUGGUUUGGCCAGGCUCAAUCUGUUUUGGGGUGAUAGUUCUCAGUGCCAUUUUGAAGUUCAGGUUGUGUUUAAGUGAUUAAUGUAGCUAGAAGGUUGUUAGCUAGCAAGCUACAUUAUUCCACCAAAGAUUAGAUUACAGGAGAUUCAUUAUCUGAGGAUACACUUAUUACUGAGAGUCUGAGAGGUACAAUAUACUUUGUGCAACUUCAUUUAUAUUAAAAAAUACGGUUGUCAUAGUUUAAGGAACAAGGAACUGUAUUUUAACACAAAUGAAAACAUUACUUUUGUUACUACUAUGUUUCCAUAUUGCAUAUGCUAGCAUUAUUGUUUUAGCGAAAAGCAGGCAUCCUAGGCAUCCUAGCAGAAAAUAGUCGAAGAGAUCAAAGUUCUUGGAUUCCCAUGGAUUAGAAAUUGAGCAAGAAUGAAUACACUUGAAUGGGAGGAAUGGAAAACACUCAAAGUCUAAUGAUUCGUUUGGUAGAAUGUAAUAUGUAUGCUGUAAAUACUUUGGUGUUUGGGUUAAGCUUUUGGCUUUCCCUAUAUUAAUAAAGAUUUAGUUUAUCGUC